GCAAGUCGAACGGUAACAUUUCUAGCUUGCUAGAAGAUGACGAGUGGCGGACGGGUGAGUAAUGCUUAGGAAUUUGCCUUUGUGAGGGGGACAACAGUUGGAAACGACUGCUAAUACCGCAUAAUACCUUCGGGUCAAAGGGGGCGCUUGCGCUCUUGCACAAAGAGAAGCCUAAGUGAGAUUAGCUAGUUGGUAAGGUAAAGGCUUACCAAGGCGACGAUCUCUAGCUGUUCUGAGAGGAAGAUCAGCCACACUGGGACUGAGACACGGCCCAGACUCCUACGGGAGGCAGCAGUGGGGAAUAUUGCACAAUGGGGGGAACCCUGAUGCAGCCAUGCCGCGUGUGUGAAGAAGGCCUUCGGGUUGUAAAGCACUUUCAGUGGGGAGGAAAAGGUAGUUGUUAAUACCAGCUACCCGUGACGUUACCCACA
rnacentral:rRNA from 1 species